CAGAAAGGUUUAUUCGUGCCUUUCUGUGGACUGUUAAAGCCAUGCUACCCCAGAUAGCUAUGCCAUGGAGCCCAGCCGUAUACUGAAAGACUGUAUGAAAGACUUUGGCUCCAUGGCGAUUGAACUGUAUGUACGUGAUCUGAGCACCAUCCGGUAAUAAUGUGCGCUCAGAUCUAAGCUAUCUGGGGAUAGGUAGAAUGUGUAUGUUCUAUGUGAUA